rnacentral:rRNA from 1 species
AACGAACGCUGGCGGCAGGCUUAACACAUGCAAGUCGAACGCACUCUUCGGAGUGAGUGGCAGACGGGUGAGUAACGCGUGGGAACCUACCUAGUGGUAUGGAAUAACUCAGGGAAACUUGAGCUAAUACCGUAUACGCCCUCCUUAGAGAUAUUGGGGGGAAAGAUUUAUCGCCAUUAGAUGGGCCCGCGUCGGAUUAGCUUGUUGGUGGGGUAAUGGCCUACCAAGGCGACGAUCCGUAGCUGGUCUGAGAGGAUGAUCAGCCACACUGGGACUGAGACACGGCCCAGACUCCUGCGGGAGGCAGCAGUGGGGAAUAUUGGACAAUGGGGGAAACCCUGAUCCAGCCAUGCCGCGUGAGUGACGAAGGCCUUAGGGUUGUAAAACUCUUUCACCGGUGAAGAUAAUGACGGUAGCCGGAGAAGAAGCCCCGGCUAACUCCGUG